rnacentral:rRNA from 1 species
CGGACUGUAGUCUGCAACCCGACUACACGAAGCUGGAAUCGCUAGUAAUCGCGAAUCAGAAUGUCGCGGUGAAUACGUUCCCGGGUCUUGUACACACCGCCCGUCACACCAUGGGAGUCGGGAAUGCCCGAAGUCAGUGACCCAACCAUAUGGAGGGAGCUGCCGAAGGCAGGUCUGAUAACUGGGGUGAAGUCGUAACAAGGUAAC